CCCUUAGAUGUCCUGGGCCGCACGCGCGCUACACUGACAUGUUCAACAAGUUUCUCCUAGUUCGACAGGACUGGGAAAUCUUUGAACGCAUGUCGUGAUAGGGAUAGAUCAUUGCAAUUAUUGAUCUUGAACGAGGAAUUCCUAGUAAACGCGAGUCAUCAGCUCGCAUUGAUUACGUCCCUGCCCUUUGUACACACCGCCCGUCGCACCUACCGAUUGAAUGUUUCGGUGAAGAUUCCAGAUAGGACUGAUUUGAUUUAUUUCAUUUCUGACCUAAAAGCUAUCUAAACCUCAACAUUUAGAGGAAGGUGAAGUCGUAACA
rnacentral:rRNA from 1 species